AUUGAACGCUGGCGGCAGGCCUAACACAUGCAAGUCGAACGAGUGGCGGACGGGUGAGUAAUGUCUGGGAAACUGCCUGAUGGAGGGGGAUAACUACUGGAAACGGUAGCUAAUACCGCAUACCAUCGGAUGUGCCCAUAUGGGAUUAGCUAGUAGGUGGGGUAACGGCUCACCUAGGCGACGAUCCCUAGCUGGUCUGAGAGGAUGACCAGCAACACUGGAACUGAGACACGGUCCGUACUCAUACGGGAGGCAGAAGUGGGGAAUAGUGCACAAUGGGCGCAAGCCUGAUGCAGCCAUGCCUCGUGUAUGAAGAAGGCCUUCGGGUUGUAAAGUACUUUCAGCGAGGAGGCGUUACCCGCAGAAGAAGCACCAGCUAACUCCGUGCCAGCAGCCGCGGUAAUUC
rnacentral:rRNA from 1 species